GAUGAACGCUAGCGGCAGGCCUAACACAUGCAAGUCGAGGGAGAGGUUACCUUCGGGUACCCAAAACCGGCGCACGGGUGCGUAACGCGUAUACAAUCUGCCUUUCACAUAGGGAUAGCCCGAAGAAAUUUGGAUUAAUACCUAAUGGUAUAUAAGAGCGGCAUCGUUUUUAUAUUAAAGCUACGGUGGUGAAAGAUGAGUAUGCGUUCUAUUAGCUAGUUGGAGAGGUAACGGCUCCCCAAGGCGACGAUAGAUAGGGGUUCUGAGAGGGAUGUCCCCCACACUGGUACUGAGAUACGGACCAGACUCCUACGGGAGGCAGCAGUGAGGAAGAUUGGACAAUGGUCGGAAGACUGAUCCAGCCAUGCCGCGUGCAGGAUGAAGGUCCUAUGGAUUGUAAACUGCUUUUGUAAGGGAAGAAUAAGGAGUACGUGUACUUUGAUGACGGUACCUUACGAAUAAGCAUCGGCUAACUCCGUG
rnacentral:rRNA from 1 species